CAGCAGCCGCGGUAAUUCGUAGGGUGCGAGCGUUGUCCGGAAUUAUUGGGCGUAAAGAGCUCGUAGGCGGUGUGUCGCGUCGGUCGUGAAAACUUUCAGCUUAACUGGGAGCUUGCGGUCGAUACGGGCAUCACUGGAGUUCGGCAGGGGAGACUGGAAUUCCUGGUGUAGCGGUGAAAUGCGCAGAUAUCAGGAGGAACACCGGUGGCGAAGGCGGGUCUCUGGGCCGAUACUGACGCUGAGGCGCGAAGGCUAGGGGAGCGACCCGGAUUAGAUACCCGGUUAGUCCUAGCAGUAAACGAUGGAUACUAGGUGUGGGGGGUGUUGACCCCUCCUGUGCCGAACUAACGCAUUAAGUAUCCCGCCUGGGGAGUACGGUCCAGACUAAACUCAAAGAAUUGACGA
rnacentral:rRNA from 1 species